AACAACACUACCAAUGAAUGGAUUCACCCGUGAUAUGACAUGGUUGUUCCACUUAGGACAAGGACGUGGCAUCCUAUUACCAGCCAUCACACAAAAUUAAUAGGAUGCAAUGUCCCUAUCCUAGGUGGAACAACCACGUCAUCUCACAGAUGAAUCUAUUCAUUGAUAGUGUGGUU
rfam:Oryza glaberrima chromosome 6 Oglab06_0013_13, whole genome shotgun sequence.